rnacentral:rRNA from 1 species
GAUGAACGCUGGCGGCGUGCCUAAUACAUGCAAGUCGAGCGAAUGGAUUAAGAGCUUGCUCUUAUGAAGUUAGCGGCGGACGGGUGAGUAACACGUGGGUAACCUGCCCAUAAGACUGGGAUAACUCCGGGAAACCGGGGAUAAUACCGGAUAACAUUUUGAACAGGAUGGUUCGAAAUUGAAAGGCGGCUUCGGCUGUCACUUAUGGAUGGACCCGCGUCGCAUUAGCUAGUUGGUGAGGUAACGGCUGACCAAGGGAACGAUGCGUAGCCGACCUGAGAGGGUGAUCGGCCACACUGGGACUGAGACACGGCCCAGACUCCUACGGGAGGCAGCAGUAGGGAAUCUUCCGCAAUGGACGAAAGUCUGACGGAGCAACGCCGCGUGAGUGAUGAAGGCUUUCGGGUCGUAAAACUCUGUUGUUAGGGAGGAACAAGUGCUAGUUGAAUAAGCUGGCACCUUGACGGUACCUAACCAGAAAGCCACGGCUAACUACGUGCCAGCCGCCGCGGUAA